rnacentral:lncRNA from 1 species
AGCUGCGACACCGAGGUGAAGGCGCUGCCGCGCGCGGGGCUCCCGCCCUCUAGCCGUCCGGGCAGAGAGCCUCCGGGACGCGGAGCCAGCAACUUCUCGGGGGCCCCUGGCGACCCCGCCGCGGGGGUGGACGAGCCGUUGCUGCUGCCGGCGGCGACACCGCCUCCCGCGUCGGGGUCCUCGGCCGUGCCCCCUGCGCCGUCUGUCGCCGCCGCCUCCUCCUGCAAGCCCACCGCGCGGCCCGCCUUCUUCACCUCCACGAAGGCGCUGCGCUUCGCCUCGCCGGUCUCCGGGCUGGGCGGCGCGAAGAGCCGGCCGUUCUCCUCCAGGCCGAAGUAGCUGCCGGCGGCGCGGUACUGCUGCGGCGUGCACACCAACUCCUCCUUGGAGGUCGCCAGCGGCCUCUCGGAGAAGCGCGCACGGCCGCCCGCCAGCCCCGCGCCGCCGCCCUCCGCCGCCGUCUCCUCCGGGAACCGCCUCUUGCCUUUGCAGCCGCCGGUGGCGACGCCGUCGGGACUCAGCUCCGCCUCCUGGUGGCCGCUGCCGCCACUGCCGACGCCCGGGGCCGCUACGCAACUGCUGCUUCCCCGGGAGUUUUCCAGUUCCCGAGCCAGGUUGUGGAAGUCCGUGGACGGCUUGGCGCUGCCGGCACCCGCGGAGCCCGGCGGGUUGCUCGCCUCCGGGGAUGACGCGGGGUAGUGGUGUAUGGGGCCGGCUUUGCAGAACUUGGGGCCCGGGAUCAACGGCGCCUCCUGUUGAUGCUGCUGCUGCUGCUGUUGCUGUUGCUCUUUACCACCGCCGCCGCCGCCGUGGUCCUUAGUGCCCAAGCCGCCCCCUUGCUCGUCUUGGGGAUUCGCAUCAGUGCUGUGAAGUCUCUUGGGGCAGCGGAAUCGCAGAUGUGCCACAUAGGGGAACUCAAACUGGAAACGUUGGCUGCAUUCCAGGCAUGUGUAAGGAGACGACCCUGCUUAGUGAGCAAACACACACACACACACACACACACACACACACACACACACACACACCCCACAUGGUUAGUUAGCAUCGCCCCUAGGCCACUUAGCCAUCCUCCCCAUAACAAAUCCACUUUAUCUUUCUGGGCUGAGUGCCCCCCAAAAAAAUGAAUACAUUAUCCUAUUUGGUGCAACUUACUUUCUUGAUUUGUGCAUUUACUAAGUCAAACGCUCCCCAACUUUUCCUUCCCCUUCUGUCCUAGUUCCAUUCGGGACAACACCUCAGAAGCUUCGUCCACCCUAUGAUGUGCAAGGUGAGCCCAGGCACCAGAGCCAACCUACCGUUCAUCUUUUGAGCUCUAGACGGGCAGAGCAAGAGCAAUUCAGUCAGUUCUUUCCCGUACCAAACUAGUAACUCUUCAUCUUUGGCAAUCCUGCGGAGAGAGCGGUAGAACAGCUGUCCGUUUUUUAUAUAAGCUUCGAGAUUCUGUUCUUCCUUAUCUCGGGCUGAUUGAACCAGCCGCAGCCACAUGAGACCUUCUGAGGAACCAUUUGCCGCCGAAGUGUCUACCUACAGUAUUUAAGAAAGACAAGAAGGGAGGGAUCCACGUGAAAGACGGCAACCAGAGAAACCAGAGAUAUUUCAUCUGUUUGCCUUUUGUUCUUUCCAAACAAUUAUCUGAAACCAAGUUUGCAAAAGUUGACCAAAGUCGGACUGCAUCCCUGCAUUUGUGGUCAAUGGGCACAAUGACCAUCCUUUGCAAUAUUGAGUCAGUCUUACAGAGUAGCCUCUUUAGAAUCUCCCUUUCAGUUACCUCACAUGAUAAAAGCAGAGGAAAUUUCCCGUGUUUCAGAAGUAAAAGGAAAUUACCCUCAGACAUCUCCAUCACACUUGCUGAGACUCACCCGGAAGAUGUAAGGUACUGUUCUCUUGUCCGUGGACUUGAGGGCUACGAAGGCUAUGCUGUCAUACAGGGAAGUAUGGCUCAGUACACAGGGACCGAAUAUGGCGUUCUCUGGGAUGUCGCAGGUUGUAUAUACACUGGUAAAAAUGUCUGUCAGACACUGUUGGACAGCCUUGGCAUCUCCAUCCCAGAUGCCUCUCUGGAUGCCUGAAUCCUCCAUCACUGGAGACAGAUACCCAGGACAAGAAGAGAGUUGUUAUUGCCUUUUCUGCUACGAACCUCGGCAGAGCGUUUCCGCUACCAGACAUAUUUUCUUUGCACUUGCCGGCUUUUUUACAUAGCUCCUACUUUAAAAAUAAAGCCGAUCAAUCUGUCAUGCUUUAAAGAUGC